ACAAUGUGAGAUGCCCAGGAAGCUUUGCUGUAAUCCUGAAUCUUUAGACUUUUCUAGGAGACUUGGGCAUCACAAGAUCAAAACAGAGACCUUCACACUCAAGUUUUUAAGACAGAGAAAAGUUCCUUGAGCAAAUGCAAGAAACACCAAAAACAAUCCAUUGAUACACUUGGUGACAUUAAUUGAGAAAAAAACAAUAUGGUCUGGCCAUGGAGGCAUGGUAUCCGUAACAUCCCCCAAAGGAGCUAAAGAAGAAAUCCACAAUUUACCAUGAGCAUUUCUCGUCUGAAGAUUGCCAAGCGAUUCCUCCAGGACAUUCCUCAAGAUCAAUUUCUGUUCAUCCACCUUGUCCUGGGAGGGACAUCAAUGGGUUUCCAUGUCCUUUGGCUUCUGGUUGAGUUCACUCAGUGGAGAACCCUGGCAAGAGGCAGGAAAAGGGGAGGAAGGUAAAAAUGGUGCUACCCUUGGAAAUCCAAGAGCAGCUUCAAGAGUCAACUAUACCAGCAAUCCCUAAAGCUGGAGAAUUUAUGCCCAUGGAAAAGUCUGUAGCGUUUUGCAAACUGUGAGGCUGAGGAAUAGACCUAGUUCCUGCAGCAGAUCAAAAUGAAAGAUGCAGAAAUGCAGCAACUAUUGCAGGGAUUCCGUGAGACCAAGGACCUGUCUCCAUAGCAGGGCUGAGGAGGAAGAGGAAGAGGAGGGGUUGGUCUUGCUGUCUCAAGAGUAGCAGAAGCAGAAGAAAAUCCAAGUUGGUCAAAGGAAGAGGAGGAUCAAUGGCCUUUUUUCCUCCCCCCAACCUUUUUUUUUUUUUUUUUUUUUAAACAAAGAAGCAAAGUGAGAACAUUAAGCCCGAAAGAGAACUGUGUUCAUUGCAGGACUUUUUGAGGUCUGGUUAAGCCAUUUAUAUAAAGAAAUUACACAGUUCCUCUUUGGUAACCUCAAUCCUGAAAGUUAGUGUGACAGGCCUACAGCUUUUUGUUCU
rnacentral:lncRNA from 1 species